GUGCAUGACUACAAUGUUAAUGCACUAGAUCCCAUUCAAACUUCGCAGUUAAACACACUUGAGAUAGAUUAUUAUUGUGAUGGGUGACCUCUCGAGAAGUCCUAUUGUUUUACAUG
rnacentral:rRNA from 1 species